rnacentral:rRNA from 1 species
AAAGAUUUAUCGCUGAAAGAUGGCCUCGCGUCUGAUUAGCUAGUCGGUGAGGUAAUGGCUCACCAAGGCGACGAUCAGUAGCCGACCUGAGAGGGUGAUCGGCCACAUUGGAACUGAGACACGGUCCAAACUCCUACGGGAGGCAGCAGUGGGGAAUAUUGCACAAUGGGCAACCCUGACCCAGCCAUGCCGCGUGAGUGAAGAAGGUUUUCGAAUUGUAAAGCUCUUUCGGAUGUGAAGAUGAUGACGGUAGCAUCUAAAGAAGCCCCGGCAAACUUCGUGCCAGCAGCCGCGGUAAUACGAAGGGGGCGAGCGUUGUUCGGAAUUACUGGGCGUAAAGGGUGUGUAGGCGGUUUAGUAAGAUAGUGGUGAAAUACCUGAGCUCAACUUAGGAAUUGCCAUUAUAACUAUUAAGCUUGAAUUACAGAGAGGAUAGCGGAAUACCCAGUGUAGAGGUGAAAUUCGUAGAUAUUGGGUAGAACACCGGUGGCGGAAGGCGGCUUAUCUGGCUGUAAAUUGACGUUGAGGCACGAAAGCAUGGGGAUCAAACAGGAUUAGAUACCCUGGUAGUCCAUGCUGUAAACGAUGAAUGCUGGUUGUCGGCUGGUUGGUCGGUGACGAAGUUAACGCGAUAAGCAUUCCGCCUGGGGAGUACGGCCGCAAGGUUAAAACUCAAAGGAAUUGACGGGGACCCGCACAAGCGGUGGAGCAUGUGGUUUAAUUCGAUGCAACGCGAAGAACCUUACCAACUCUUGACAUCCUUAUCGGGGAGAUCAGAGAUGAUUUCUUUCAGUUAGGCUGGAUAAGUGACAGAUGCUGCAUGGCUGUCGUCAGCUCGUGUCGUGAGAUGUUGGGUUAAGUCCCGCAACGAGCGCAACCCCUGCGAUCAGUUGCCAUCAGGUAAGCUGGGCACUCUGAUUGGACUGCCGGUGACAAGCCGGAGGAAGGUGGGGAUGACGUCAAGUCAUCAUGGCUCUUACGAGUUGGGCUACACACGUGCUACAAUGGCACCUACAGAGGGGAGCGAUACUGUGAAGUUGAGCAAAUCUUAAAAAGGUGUCUCAGUUCAGAUUGUACUCUGCAACUCGAGUACAUGAAGUUGGAAUCAAAUAGUAAUCGCGGAUCAGCAUGCCGCGGUGAAUA